ACGAAAUGGAGGGGCAGAUGGGAGUUUAAAAAAUGUCUCUGUGGCAGGAUCCGUGAAUGGAUUUUUCACUGCGCUUAAUACAAAAGAGAACUUCAGCAGGGGGUCGAGGAUGGUGCCCAGGAUCCAAAAUAUGCAGAUGCAACCUCAAGUGCAGAACCCAGAGACGUUUCCCAUGAUAUUAGAAGACAAUGCUGUGAAGGGACAACAUGGUAGACCGUAUACGGUCAUCAGCCAGGAGAGAGACAUCCGCGCAGGAGACAGAAUACAGGAAGCAGCGAGAGGUCAGUACACCUCCCGACAUCCCCAGACCAGGAAAGAGGUGCACUGGUCCGAAUCUUGGACUCACCCAAUCAGUUUCUCCACUCUUGUC
ensembl:lncRNA